CCUGCCCCUGCCGCCGUCGGCGCCGUAGCUGUCGUAGCCGCCGCCGCCGCUGGAGAAAGAACACGAGCGGGGAAGCCCCCAGUGAAAUCCACCAUCCUGCAGGCCGGUCUGCCCGCCCCUCCUUCCUUCUCACUCGGGCCCCCGCUCCCUCCCCCCACAGGUGCCAUCCGCCGCCAUCUGCCCUUCCUACACCCCCAUCCCCAGGUGAGUUCAGGAAGCAGAGACCCCGAGGAACCCAGCAGGGUCACCAUUUGCAGCGCAACAUGGCAGGAGCUGGAGGAGGGAAUGAUAUUCAGUGGUGUUUUUCUCAGGUGAAAGGAGCAGUAGAUGAUGAUGUAGCAGAAGCAGAUGUAAUUUCUACAGUAGAAUUUAAUCAUUCUGGAGAAUUACUAGCAACAGGAGAUAAAGGUGGUAGAGUUGUCAUCUUUCAACAGGAGCAGGAGCGCCUUUGACCUGAGGAUCUCAAAGUGCUUUACAAACACUAAUGAAUUAAUCCUCACAACACCCCAGUGAGAACAAAAUCCAGUCUCAUAGCAGAGGAGAAUAUAAUGUUUACAGCACCUUCCAGAGCCAUGAACCAGAGUUUGACUACUUGAAAAGUUUAGAAAUAGAAGAAAAGAUCAACAAAAUUAGGUGGUUACCCCAGAAAAAUGCUGCUCAGUUUUUGUUGUCUACCAAUGAUAAAACAAUAAAAUUAUGGAAAAUCAGUGAAAGAGACAAGAGACCAGAAGGGUAUAACUUGAAAGAGGAAGAUGGAAGGUAUAGAGAUCCUACUACAGUUACUACACUACACGUGCCAGUCUUUAGGCCCAUGGAUCUAAUGGUCGAGUCCAGUCCACGAAGAAUAUUUGCCAAUGCUCAUACAUACCACAUCAAUUCCAUCUCCAUCAAUAGUGAUUAUGAAACAUAUUUAUCUGCAGAUGAUUUGCGGAUUAAUCUUUGGCAUCUGGAAAUUACAGACAGGAGUUUCAACAUUGUGGAUAUCAAGCCUGCCAACAUGGAGGAGCUAACAGAGGUGAUUACGGCAGCAGAAUUCCAUCCACACAGCUGUAACACAUUUGUAUACAGCAGCAGUAAAGGAACAAUUCGGUUAUGUGACAUGAGGGCAUCUGCUCUCUGUGACAGGCAUUCUAAACAUAAGUGCAUGAAUACCUCAGAAGUAAACUUUGUUCACUGUAUGAAAAUGACUGCAUAUUUGACAAGUUUGAAUGUUGUUGGAAUGGAUCUGAUAGUGUUGUCAUGACUGGAUCUUACAAUAACUUCUUCAGAAUGUUUGACAGGAACACAAAGCGAGACAUAACCCUAGAAGCAUCUCGGGAAAACAAUAAGCCUCGCACAGUUUUGAAGCCACGCAAAGUCUGUGCAAGCGGCAAGAGAAAGAAAGACGAAAUAAGUGUUGACAGCCUAGAUUUCAACAAGAAAAUCCUUCACACAGCCUGGCACCCCAAGGAGAAUAUCAUUGCUGUAGCUACUACAAACAAUCUGUAUAUAUUUCAAGACAAAGUGAAUUAGGGUUGGCAUUCCUAGCAGAAGAACCUACUUCCUGCUUAGUUGAGAUAGUUGAAUCUAGCAUUCGUACCUAUAAAAGAGAGAGGUCCAUUGUGGCGCCCCUUUCCAGUGUUUGACAGUGUGCCAUUCGACAACACAUUUUUAUAGCUACAUGGAGAAAGCUCUGGUGGAUUCAUCACUGGUAUUCUCCAUGUCUGCUAGCCAUUUAGGUAAGGGUAGGGCACUUUUAAUUUAAAUGACUUCUUGCACCAUCUUGCCUAAUGGACUAGAUUGGACUGUAUCAACAUUGAUUUACUCCACUUUUAUGCCUUCCAUUGUGAUGACGUCAAACACAGUGAAAGCCUUCAGUCAUGCUAUGGGAUUGAAUUGUGUAUCCUCAUUACUGUAUCAUUUGUGGGGUACACCCCUUCCCCCCCUUUUUAAAUUAAAUACAGCUCAUCCUUACUGUGGCUUGUAGCAUUCCUCCUCUCCUGGCCUCCUGGACUCUUCCCCUUCAUCUCUCUUACCCUUGCCCCCUCCACCUGGUCUUGGUGGUGGUAUAUUAAAAAAAAAGAAUGAAAGCACACAAAAUGAGUCAGUUUGGGGUCAGUGGAAUAAAGGGGGUAUAUGUUGCGAACAAAUGUUUUAAUAACAGUUGGCUGUAAUCACUCCUUGCCAUGUCUGGCACUGAAAAUAAGGAAAAAAAAACUACAACUGAAUAAAAGUGACAAAGAAU